CAGUGUUUUAAAAAGUCAGGGAAAGGAAAGAGGUGUGUUCAGCAUUCCUGCCCCAUCUUAACAUAUUCUUUUUCUCGUCUUAACAGUGGUAAUAUUUUAUGUUAUUUUGGUUUGAUUUUUGUUUGUGGCAUAUGGCUCUGCUGUCCUGUGACUCUAAGUAGAAGAGAAAAUAGUGCCAAUAAUUCUUCAUGGAGAUGCACCUCUCUCAAGUCUUGAACAAUGUUUGAGGAAAAGUGCUUUCAGCUGGGCUGAUGAGAACACCUUGGCACUCUUUCCUGCAAUGGGCACUGAUUGAGGGUCUUCCUGGUGUGGCAUCAUCAAAUCCCUGUUGCUCAAACCCACUAAUUAGCUCAUUCUUAUCUACAAGUAGCAGGGGCCCUAAAGCUCUCUGAGAAGAUCUCAUACUGUGUCUCCUACAUUUCAUCUUCUAUAAUCUCUUAUUCUUAGAGACAGAAAGAUGGUUAAAAGACAUCACUUCAUUUCUUUCUCUGGAUUUGGAAAGAGUUAUAUAUUGGGAUUAUGCUGUUAGUUUACACUUGCAUUGUUUAAAUUAGAGGAAAGGUUAUUUUGUGCAGAACAAAUAAAAAUUACUCUUUAACUACCUUUCAGAAUAUCCCAACUUUUAACAUAAGCUGUUUUGUAAAGGCUGGUUGUAGUGACUUGCUUCAUAAUAGACUAUUAAAAUAAGAUGCAUUGAAAUCUUGUUCUUUUCUUUGCAAUACCAUGUAUCAGCUUUGUUUUGAGAGGCAAACUCAAUUUUCCCCUGAAAUUAGGAAAUUACUGUAAGGGACUGGAAUGACACACAAGAAAAGAUUACAUCAUAGCAGGGAGACUAGCCAGUUAGAAUGGGGAUUUCUUUACAAACACUAGACUGGACUAUGGAUUAUAAUUUACCUAGUGUUAAUAGUUGCAGUCAUACAUUAAGGACAAUAUGUAUGUUCUUUAGUUUUUUGUCACUGAGCAGAGGUAGAAACAGGGAAACAACAAAGGCCGAAUAAUUUCCAGCCAUUGCUGCUUUGUUUGCACGGAGCCCUUUGAAAUGUGAACUAAGAAUAUUUCUCAGAAGGUUUUUAGGUGAUUCAUAUACACAGUAAAGUUUCAGAAGUGCUAUAUUCGAGGGCAUAUGGAAACCCAUGGCUUUUCUGCUAGAGGAUUGUCAAAAGUCCAGAAUUUCAUAACUAAAUACCAUGAAUUUAGUAUAGUAGAGCACAGAACUAAAGGCUGUCUUGUGGCUGCAAAGAGUUGACUUCACAUAGCAUAAACUAUAGUCUAAGACAGUGACUUAGACAUAAGAGAGAAUAGAACUUGGUAACUGGGAUUGUUUUACAGCGUGAUCAUGUAUAUUUCUAUAUUAUUCUAAAAAUAUUUAUUAUAUUUAUAUAAAAAUUGUUACAACCGUGUACAAGUGUGCAUAAAUAAAUAGUGUAUUUAUGUAGUCUUUAUUUGAAUGUCAGGCCAGUUAGAGAAGCUAGAC
rnacentral:lncRNA from 1 species